GAGCGCAGGCGGAAAAAUAAGUCUAAUGUGAAAGCCCUCGGCUUAACCGAGGAACUGCAUCGGAAACUGUUUUUCUUGAGUGCAGAAGAGGAGAGUGGAACUCCAUGUGUAGCGGUGGAAUGCGUAGAUAUAUGGAAGAACACCAGUGGCGAAGGCGGCUCUCUGGUCUGCAACUGACGCUGAGGCUCGAAAGCAUGGGUAGCGAACAGGAUUAGAUACCCUGGUAGUCCAUGCCGUAAACGAUGAGUGCUAAGUGUUGGGAGGUUUCCGCCUCUCAGUGCUGCAGCUAACGCAUUAAGCACUCCGCCUGGGGAGUACGACCGCAAGGUUGAAACUCAAAGGAAUUGACGGGGGCCCGCACAAGCGGUGGAGCAUGUGGUUUAAUUCGAAGCAACGCGAAGAACCUUACCAGGUCUUGACAUCUAGUGCAAUCUGUAGAGAUACGGAGUUCCCUUCGGGGACGCUAAGACAGGUGGUGCAUGGCUGUCGUCAGCUCGUGUCGUGAGAUGUUGGGUUAAGUCCCGCAACGGGGCGCAACCCUUGUUAUUAGUUGCCAGCAUUAAGUUGGGCACUCUAAUGAGACUGCCGGUGACAAACCGGAGGAAGGUGGGGAUGACGUCAAGUCAUCAUGCCCCUUAUGACCUGGGCUACACACGUGCUACAAUGGGCAGUACAACGAGAAGCAAGCCUGCGAAGGCAAGCGAAUCUCUGAAAGCUGUUCUCAGUUCGGACUGCAGUCUGCAACUCGACUGCACGAAGCUGGAAUCGCUAG
rnacentral:rRNA from 1 species